UACGUAGGGUCCGAGCGUGUCCGGAAUUAUUGGGCGUAAAGGGCUCGUAGGCGGUUCGUCGCGUCGGGAGUGAAAACUCGGAGCUCAACUCCGAGCCUGCUUCCGAUACGGGCAGACUAGAGGUAGGCAGGGGAGAGCGGAACUCCUGGUGUAGCGGUGGAAUGCGCAGAUAUCAGGAAGAACACCGGUGGCGAAGGCGGCUCUCUGGGCCUUACCUGACGCUGAGGAGCGAAGCGUGGGGAGCGAACAGG
rnacentral:rRNA from 1 species